AGGCUGUGUAGGCUGAGGGUAGGCUGUGUAGGCUGAGGGUAGGCUGUGAACGCUGAGGUUAUGCUGUGUAGGCUGAGGGUAGGCUGUGUAGGCUGAGGGUAGGCUGUGUAGGCUGAGGUUAGGCUGAGGUUAUGCUGUGUAGGCUGAGGGUAGGCUGUGAAGGCUGAGGGUAGGCUGUGAAGGCUGAGGUUAUGCUGUGUAGGCUGAGGUUAUGCUGUGUAGGCUGAGGGUAGGCUGUGUAGGCUGAGGUUAUGCUGUGUAGGCUGAGGUUAUGCUGUGUAGGCUGAGGGUAGACUGUGAAGGCUGAGGGCAGGCUGUGAAGGCUGAGGGUAGGCUGUGUAGGCUGAGGUUAUGCUGUGUAGGCUGAGGGUAGACUGUGAAGGCUGAGGGCAGGCUGUGUAGGCUGAGGGUAGGCUGUGUAGGCUGAGGGUAGACUGUGAAGGCUGAGGGCAGGCUGUGAAGGCUGAGGGCAGGCUGUGUAGGCUGAGGGUAGGCUGUGAAGGCUGAGGGUAGGCUGAGGGCAGGCUGUGUAGGCUGAGGGUAGGCUGUGAAGGCUGAGGGUAGGCUGUGAAGGCUGAGGGUAUGCUGUGAAGGCUGAGGGUAGGCUGUGAAGGCUGAGGGUAGGCUGUGAAGGCUGAGGGUAUGCUGUGAAGGCUGAGGGUAGGCUGUGUAGCCUGAGGGUAGGCUGUGAAGGCUGAGGGUAGGCUGUGUAGGCUGUGAAGACUGAGGGUAGGAGGGUUCUGUAGACUGAGGGUAGGAGGGUUCUAUAGGCUGAGGGUAGGAGGGUUCUAUAGGCUGAGGGUAGGAGGGUUCUAUAGG